CUUCGGAGCCGCACGUUCGCUCCGCCGUUCUUUAAUGAAUUCGUUCAGCGCAGGCAGUGGAGAGGAAAGUCCGGACGUCACAGGGCAGGAUUCCUCGUGAAAGCGGGGAAGGCUCGCUUCAAGGCGAGUUGAUGGAUAGCGCCACAGAAAACACACCGCCCACCUUCGCCAAGGCUUCGGCGGGCAGGCCUCUUUUGGGAGUUCUGUUUGGUGGAGGAGGGUAAGGUUGAAAUGGUGGGGUAAGAGCCCACCGCCGCUCCGAGCAAUCGGGCGGGCAGGGCAAGCCCAAUCCGACGCAAGACAAAAUAGGGGGCAGAGCGGCCCGUUUUUUAUGCCCCGGGUAUGUCGCGCCUUUUUCGAAAGGGUUCCGCAUUCGUGCGGGACAGAUAAAUGAACGUGGCCCUGCUUCGGCAGUGCACAGAAUCCGGCUUAUAGGCUCCGGAGCUAG
rnacentral:RNase_P_RNA from 1 species